UGGGCCCGGUGUCCCCGCCUGGCCUUGGGCCCUGUCGCGGGUCCCUGUCCCACGGCGGGCUCCACCCGCGGGGCCCGUGGCCCUCCAGCCCCAACGCAGCCUGCAGGAGCUGUCGGCCCCCGCUGAGCCGCACGCUGCUGGCCUUGGGGUCAGCCCGGUCACAUCUCCUGGACACACAAAACCCUUCCAAGGGCUUCUCCUGGCCGCUGCUGUGGGGUACAGACACGGAGUUCUUCAUCUGCUGCCACUCUUGUUUUCUUAAAUUGUCUUUUAGUUUUUAUUCCAGUCAUACGCCAGGUUUAAUUCAAAUAGAAGGCUCAACUUCCUAUUCCACAGGCCAAAAUGCAGCUCCUUUCAGGACUGGGAGGAUGUUUGAGAUGCUCCAAAAACCCUGUUAGAGGUGGCCAUCCUGAUCCCACACAGCAGCUGUAGUCACUGUCCCCACACAGAUGAUAAAGUUUUAAAGCACUAGGAUCCCCGCCUUAGAAAAACUCAGUUGUGCUCCUUAAAAAUAAAAAAGUUCCUGCUCCUGGAUCAGCUCUCAGUCAGAUAAAGUCAUAGACUCUGAUGGAAGAACAGAAAAUAAGAUGUUGGAGCAACACAGUCAGUGGUGAACAACAGGAGGAGUGCAAACCUCAGUAAGAUGUAGGUGCUCCUAAACAACUCCCUGCUGUUCAGCAUGGGGCUGCAAUUCAGCCCUGGAACGAUGGAUAAACCCAUUUCAGCACUGCUUUGUCUUUCUCUGGAGGCACCUAAAACUCAGCCUAUCCUGAACAAAGCCUGGCUCCAGCACCAAGCAGAGCCCAGCCCAGCCGAGGCACAGGAGCAAGAGCUGGGCUCUCACUGCGGGGUGGACACUGGGGCCAGAGCUCAGCUACAGGACACAGGAACCAGUGCCCAGGAGUAACAGAACCAUGGGAGAAAAUGGGGAAGCAGCUAAGGAGGGGUUCCUCUCAGUGUUGCUUGUAAAGCCAAACAACUCCCAAAAAUUACUGGAUUAGGGUGGGCAAUAAUCAGCAGUAAAAGGUUCAAUCCAAGAUGACCAUAUGCAGCAGGAGGAAUUCCUGCACAGCCAUAAGCCUUCCCAGGAAGCUUCUUCUCCAGGUCUGGAAGUGUAAAAGACUGUAAUAAUUAAUUCCUCUGCUGAGCAACAACAGCUGCAGCCACAGGGUGGGGACCUGCUAUGGAGGACAGGAAAAAAAGAAAAUAAAACUAACCUGCUCCAUACUCAAGAGCUUCUUGAAUCCCGUCGUUGCAGGAUGGAAAGUGAGGAUGAGCAGCAACAACUUCUCUGAAGAGCCUGUGCCAGGGCCUCACCAGGAAGGAUUUCUCUCCACUAUCCCACCUAUCCCUGCCCUCUGGCCCUGGGAGCCAUUCCCUGUGUCCUGUUCCUCCAUCCC